UCCAGCUCCAUUAGCGUAUAUAAAAGUURKGCAGUUAAAAAGCUMGUAGUURGAUUUCGGAAGGUCCUUAGUGAUCCGYCCCUUCGGGGAGCGGGUYKCUGGCCUCCUAUGUUCCUAACGGUCCUCAUCCGCGAGGGUGGGGAAUCAACCGSUAGGAUCGUUUACUUUGAGGAAAUUAGAGUGUUCAAAGCAGGCGUAACUCGCCUCCGAAUACGUUAGCAUGGGAUAAUGGAAUACGACUUCGGUCUUGUUUCGUUGGUUUCGCUUGGCUGAAGUAAUGAUUGAUAGGGACAGUUGGGGGCAUUAGUAUUUAGUUGUCAGAGGUGAAAUUCUAGGAUUUACUAAAGACUGACCAAUGCGAAAGCAUUUGCCAAGGAUGUUUUCAUUAAUCAAGAACGAAAGUAGGGGGAUYGAAGACGAUCAGAUACCGUYGUAGUYUCUACCGUAAACUAUGCCGACCAGGGAUCCGGAGAGUUUGCAUGGAUGACUCCCCGGGCACCUUGUGAGAAAUCAUAAGUGUUUGGGUUUGGGGGGAGUAUGGUCGCAAGGCUGAAACUAAAGAAUGACGAAGGCCCCCCMMGGGUGC
rnacentral:rRNA from 1 species